GACGAACGCUGGCGGCGUGCUUAACACAUGCAAGUCGAACGGAAAGGCCCUGCUUUUGUGGGGUGCUCGAGUGGCGAACGGGUGAGUAACACGUGAGUAACCUGCCCUUGACUUUGGGAUAACUUCAGGAAACUGGGGCUAAUACCGGAUAGGAGCUCCUGCUGCAUGGUGGGGGUUGGAAAGUUUCGGCGGUUGGGGAUGGACUCGCGGCUUAUCAGCUUGUUGGUGGGGUAGUGGCUUACCAAGGCUUUGACGGGUAGCCGGCCUGAGAGGGUGACCGGACACAUUGGGACUGAGAAACGGCCCAGACUCCUACGGGAGGCAGCAGUGGGGAAUAUUGCACAAUGGGCGGAAGCCUGAUGCAGCAACGCCGCGUGCGGGAUGACGGCCUUCGGGUUGUAAACCGCUUUCGCCUGUGACGAAGCGUGAGUGACGGUAAUGGGUAAAGAAGCACCGGCUAACUACGUG
rnacentral:rRNA from 1 species